AUGCCUCUUAAAUUUUGGGAUGAAGCGUUUCUCACUGCCGUUCAUAUCAUAAACUUGCUACCUAGUCGUGUCAUUAAUCAUGAAACUCCGGUAGAAAGGCUUCUUCACACCAAACCAGACUAUACGUCUCUUUGUGUCUUUGGGUGUGCCUGUUGGCCAAACCUACGUCCCUACAAUAAUCGAAAACUCAUGUUCCGAUCAAAACAAUGCGUGUUCCUUGGCUAUAGUGCUCAGCAUAAGGGGGUCAAGUGCCUGGAUGUCUCCACGGGACGUGUUCACAUAUCCCGUGAUGUAGUCUUUGAUGAAACUAAAUUUCCUUUCACUGAUCUUCACCCUAAUGCCGGCGCACUUCUUCGAGAAGAAAUUCUUCUCUUGCCACCUCAUCUCACUAGCUUUGAUCAAGGGGGACAAAAUGUUGAUGAUCAUUUGUUGACUAACUCAUCUAAUGGCAUGCAUGAGUCUUGUGUCGAUGAAACAAGAUAA
rnacentral:rRNA from 1 species